CCGGUCGUUGUACACACCGCCCGUCACACCAUGGGAGCGGGAUGUACCAGAAGUAGGUAGGCUAACCGCAAGGGGGCCGCUUACCACGGUGCGUUUCGUGACUGGGGUG
rnacentral:rRNA from 1 species